rnacentral:rRNA from 1 species
CCUACGGGUGGCAGCAGUGAGGAAUAUUGGUCAAUGGCCGGAAGGCUGAACCAGCCAAGCCGCGUGAGGGAGGAAGGCGCAGAGCGUCGCAGACCUCUUUUGCCGGGGGACAAAAGGCCGGCCGGGUCCGGUUCUGAGGGUACCCGGCGAAAAAGCAUCGGCUAACUCCGUGCCAGCAGCCGCGGUAAUACGGAGGAUGCGAGCGUUAUCCGGAUUCAUUGGGUUUAAAGGGUGCGCAGGCGGGCAUUUAAGCCGGCGGUGACAUCGCGGGGCUCAACCCCGCCGCGCCGUCGGAACUGGGGGCCUUGAGUGCGGCGGAGGCAUGCGGAAUGCGGGGUGUAGCGGUGAAAUGCAUAGAUAUAGCGAAGAACCCCGAUGGCGAAGGCAGCGUGCCGGGCCGCCACUGACGCUGAGGCACGAAAGCGCGGGGAUCGAACAGGAUUAGAUACCCCAGUAGUC